CUGAACCUACAACCACUACACCUGCACCGACAACUGCUACACAAACCACUUUGGCCCCAGAUGUCACCUAUACCCUCACAGCAGACUUAGCAGGAGAAACUUUUACACCUGCCCUCACUGAUACAAACAGCCCUGAAUUCAAAGAACUUGCAAUCCGAGUAAUAGAUACGUGUGCUCUCAUAUACAGAAGGAAAUAUCCAAAUCUGUUCCUUUUCUGCCUUGUGAAAAGUUUCAGUGCCUUAAUAUCACGAACGGAGGGAGUUAGAGCAAAUUUUCAAGUUGUCUUUAAUUCUACAAGUGGAAGUGGAGCACUCCCAAUGAAUAGUGCUGUGGCUGCUACCUUAACAGAGGCGGUGUCUGAUUCCACCAAUAACUUCAGCGUGAGCAUAAAUCCUACCUCAGUGGAAACAAUAGCCGGUCCACUUCCAGAUCCAACUACAGUUUCCCCAGCUACUACUGCUGCACCUAUAACUGCCGUAGCUACUACUGCUGUAACUACUACUGCUGCACCUAUAACUGCUGCACCUACAACUGCCACACUCAUACCAAAAAGGGCCACUUUCAGAUCUCUUCAAAGCACAUUUACAGCCGACUUGUUGAAUCCAUCAUCCACAGCUUAUCAGGAUCGCGUUAAAAUGAUAACAGACCAGGUAAGUCUCCCCCUCCUGCUGC